CAAGAACUGUUAAACACCCAGUGUGGGAGUCCAGCUUAUGCAGCCCCAGAACUCUUAGCUCAUAAGCAAUAUGGGCCAAAAGUGGAUGUCUGGUCCAUAGGAAUCAGCACAUUUGCCAUGCUGACUGGCACUCUGCCUUUCACCGUGGAGCCAUUUAAUAUCAAGCAACUUCAUCUCAAGAUGGUUAAUGGAGAAAUGAAUCCCAUCUCUCCCAACAUUUCCUCUGGAGCUGUUCAUUUUAUGCACUCUUUGCUUCAACCUGACCCCACAAGGCGUCCUACUGUUAAAGAGGCAAUGCAAGACAAAUGGUUAAAUGAUAGUAAUAUCAGCAAACCAC